rnacentral:RNase_P_RNA from 1 species
CGAGUCGGCAGGACGGUCGCUGUUCGGUCUGGCAACCCCAGGCUGAAGAGAGGAAAGUCCGGGCUCCCUCGGACCUCGGUGGUGGGUAACGCCCACCGUCCAAGCCUGGCGCCCUCACCCCCUACUCCUCUCCCUGAGAGAGGGGGUGUGAGGGCGCCAGGCAAGGAUAGGGAAAGUGCAACAGAAAGAUACCGCCUUGGUCAGUGGUGGGUGGCGAGUGGCGAGUGGUGAGUGGCGGAUCAUCGAUUCGCCGACGCACCACCCAUCACUCACCACCCACCACAACCACGGUAAGGGUGAAAUGGUGGGGGAGCGAAAGCUUCUUAAUGUAAGAGCCCACCAGCAGCCGGGUGACCGGCUGGCUCGGCAAACCCCACCGGGAGCAAGGCCAAAUAAGGAAGCAGGAACGGUCCGAUCCGUCAUGACUUCCGGGUAGGCUGCUCGAGCGCCGCGGCAACGCGGCGCCUAGAUAAAUGACCGUCGCGAGGGCAACCUCGGACAGAACCCGGCUUACACGCCGGCUUGCGGA